AUUGAACGCUGGCGGCAGGCUUAACACAUGCAAGUCGAGCGAGUGGCGGACGGGUGAGUAAUGUCUGGGGAUCUAGCCGAUAGAGGGGGCUAACUACUGGAAACGGUGGAUAAUACCGCAUACUAUCGGAUGAACCCAAAUGGGCUUAGCUAGUAGGUGGGGUAAAGGCUCACCAAGGCGACGAUGUCUAGCUGGUCUGAGAGGAUGAUCAACCACAAGGGGACUGAGACACGGCCCAGACGCCUACGGGAGGCAGCAGUGGGGAAUAUUGCACAAUGGGAGCAAGCCUGAUGCAGCCAGGCCGCGUGUAUGAAGAAGGCCUUAGGGUUGUAAAGUACGUUCAGCUGGGAGGCGUUACCUGCAGAAGAAGCACCGGCUAACUCCGUGCCAGCAGCCGCGGUAAUUC
rnacentral:rRNA from 1 species